rnacentral:lncRNA from 1 species
UUCUUCCCUCCUCCGAACACACCUCACCGGAAAAACAAACGGGCCACGUACCUCCCUCUCACCCCACGACACACCUGCAAUUUCCGAUCUGCUAUACAUCGCCGGAGAAGAAACCGAACUCGCCGGGAACUUGCUCCUACGCCGGAACCACCACCAGCCACCGCCGGGCCGCAACUGCCGGGUAAUUCUCUUGUGCACAUCCUCUUUGGAAAAUCCCUGAUCCUUUAUCUUUCCAAGAAAUACGCAACGCAACCUAAGGUGAGUAUACAUGACCCAUUUUCGCUUUACACUUUUUGGGUUGAUUGAUCAAGAUACAAGAAAACAAGCUAGGAUGGCUUAG